UGACCCUUCUAAGCCGAGGGUCACCUAGCCAACUGACGUUGUUAGUGAACCUUAUUUUUGUUCACACUUAUUAAUAGCCAAUCAUACUUUUUGUGAUUGGCUUUUUUUAUUUUU
rnacentral:sRNA from 1 species